rnacentral:rRNA from 1 species
GAUGAACGCUGGCGGCGUGCCUAAUACAUGCAAGUCGAGCGAACAGACGAGGAGCUUGCUCCUCUGACGUUAGCGGCGGACGGGUGAGUAACACGUGGAUAACCUACCUAUAAGACUGGUAUAACUUCGGGAAACCGGCGCUAAUCCCGGAUAAUAUCUUGAACCGCAUGGUUCAAUAGUGAAAGACGGUUUUGCUGUCACUUAUAGAUGGAUCCGCGCCGCAUUAGCUAGUUGGUAAGGUAACGGCUUACCACGGCGACGAUGCGUAGCCGACCUGAGAGGGUGAUCGGCCGCACUGGAGCUGAGACACGGACAAGAGGCCUAAGGGAGGCAGCAGUAGGCAAUCUUCCGCAAUGGGCGAAAGCAUGACGGAGCAACGCGGCGCCAGUGAUGAAGGUCCUCGGAGCGUAAAGAUGUGUUAUGAGGGAAGAACAAAUGUGUAAGUUACUAUGGACGUCUUGACGGUAACUAGUAAGAAAGCCACGGCUAACUACGUG